rnacentral:lncRNA from 1 species
CUGCCCAAGGCCCUUGGCACAGGUUGGGAAGUGGGAAUGGUCCCCUGGGCCCUGCACACUCCGUUCUUCAUGGUGGGUCCUGCAUCCGUGGGAGGUUUCUGGGCUGCUGCUCUGAGGAGGGAUUUGAGGUCAGGCUGACUUUGGUGCUUCCCAAAAGGCACUGACUCUCUCUGUUUCAGUUCAGGUCCAGGGCAGCCACCCAGCAUUGCUCCAAAUCCACGAGAAGUGAAGCAAACCCAGGAAUUCACCCAGCCCUUCCCAUCAGUGGGCAGGUGGCAGCCCCAGUGCCAGGGAGAGGCAGGUGCUUUCUGCACACCCAGAACCGGACCAGACCCGCUGCCCAAAAUCCCAGCACAAACCACGGCUGCCCACAACCUUCUCCAGGGGGAGUGGUAAGUGCUGGGAACCCAGGGGACGUUCCCAGGACCUGAGCAACCAAAAACCUCCCUUUUCUCCCAGCCACAAGCAGUAACCCUGAGGUGACGGGCAGAAAGGGCCACUCCAUCACAAUGCCCGCUCCCCAGGGAUCCUUGGUACAUCGCUGCUUCCUUCCCAGCCCAUCCCAAAGAGCCAUCUCCACAUGGGACACUACCAAAACAUUUAUUAGAAGAGUGCAGGGUGGCCAGGCUCCACAGGACCUGCCCUGCAGCUGCCCACAGAGCUGGGGAGGGCAGCAGGAAUGUUCACCCUGGGCAUCUCGUGUGUCCCAGCAUCAACCGGGAGAUGCAGGCGCUUGUUUCCCCGAGGGAAAUGUGUCCCUGCUGGGGCGUGGGCAGUGGGGACAGGCUGGCUGUGCCAUUCCUGCAGGCAGGAGGCAGCACUCGGGCACUGCAGAACUCCCAGCAGGGAGAUCCAGGGCUGCUCACACUGGGCACUGCAGAGCUCCCAGCAGGCAGAUCCAGGGCUGCUCACACUGGGCACUGCAGAGCUCCCAGCAGGCAGAUCCAGGGCUGCUCACACUGGGCACUGCAGAGCUCCCAGCAGAUCCAGGGCUGCUCACACUGGGCACUGCAGAGCUCCCAGCAGGCAGAUCCAGGGCUGCUCACACUGGGCACUGCAGAGCUCCCAGCAGAUCCAGGGCUGCUCACACUGGGCACUGCAGAGCUCCCAGCAGAUCCAGGGCUGCUAUCCAGGGCUGCUGGGGGGGGGGGGGGGGGGGGGGGGGGGGGGGGGGGGGGGGGGGGGGGGGGGGGGGGGGGGGG